rnacentral:snRNA from 1 species
AUCGCUUCUCGGCCUUUUGGCUAAGAUCAUGUGUAGUUUCUGUUCUUAUCAGUUUAAUGUCUGAUAUGUCUUCUAUCUGAGGACAAUAUAUGAAAUGGAUAUUUGGAAUUAUUUGGAAUUAGGAGAUGGAAUAGGAGCUUGCUCCGUUCACUCCAUGCAUCGACCUGGUAUAGUAGUACUUCCAGGAACAGUGCACCAAAA